AACGAACGCUGGCGGCAGGCCUAAUACAUGCAAGUCGAACGCCCCGCAAGGGGAGUGGCGCACGGGUGAGUAACGCGUGGGAAUGUGCCCUUAGGUGCGGAACAACGUUUGGAAACGAACGCUAAUACCGCAUAAUAUCUCCGGAUCAAAGAUUUAUCGCCUAGGGAUCAGCCCGCGUUGGAUUAGCUAGUUGGUGGGGUAACGGCCUACCAAGGCGACGAUCCAUAGCUGGUCUGAGAGGAUGAUCAGCCACACUGGGACUGAGACACGGCCCAGACUCCUACGGGAGGCAGCAGUAAGGAAUAUUGGACAAUGGGGGAAACCCUGAUCCAGCCAUGCCGCGUGAGUGAUGAAGGCCUUCGGGUUGUAAAGCUCUUUUAGGUGUGAAAAUGAUGAUGGUAGCACCAGAAAAAGCUCCGGCUAACUUCGUGCCAGCAGCCGCAGUAAGAC
rnacentral:rRNA from 1 species